rnacentral:rRNA from 1 species
UUCCGUAAGGGUACCUGCGGAGGGAUCAUUACCGAGUUUACAACUCCCAAACCCCUGUGAACAUACCUUAAUGUUGCCUCGGCGGAUCAGCCCGCGCCCCGUAAAACGGGACGGCCCGCCAGAGGACCCAAACUCUAAUGUUUCUUAUUGUAACUUCUGAGUAAAACAAACAAAUAAAUCAAAACUUUCAACAACGGAUCUCUUGGUUCUGGCAUCGAUGAAGAACGCAGCAAAAUGCGAUAAGUAAUGUGAAUUGCAGAAUUCAGUGAAUCAUCGAAUCUUUGAACGCACAUUGCGCCCGCUGGUAUUCCGGCGGGCAUGCCUGUUCGAGCGUCAUUUCAACCCUCAAGCCCCCGGGUUUGGUGUUGGGGAUCGGCUCUGCCCUUCUGGGCGGUGCCGCCCCCGAAAUACAUUGGCGGUCUCGCUGCAGCCUCCAUUGCGUAGUAGCUAACACCUCGCAACUGGAACGCGGCGCGGCCAUGCCGUAAAACCCCAACUUCUGAAUGUUGACCUCGGAUCAGGUAGGAAUACCCGCUGAACUUAAGCAUAUCAAAAGGCCGGAGGAA